UAGGGAGCGAGCGUUAUCCGGAUUUAUUGGGUGUAAAGCGUGUGUAGGCGGUAAAUUAAGUCUAAGGUUUAAGCCCGGAGCUCAACUCCGGUUCGCCUUAGAAACUGAUUUUCUUGAGUAUGGUAGAGGCAAGUGGAAUUUCUAGUGUAGCGGUAAAAUGCGUAGAUAUUAGAAGGAACACCAGUGGCGAAGGCGACUUGUUGGGCCAAAACUGACGCUGAGACACGAAAGCGUGGGGAGCA
rnacentral:rRNA from 1 species